AGAGUUUGAUCCUGGCUCAGAAUGAACGCUGGCGGCGUGCCUAACACAUGCAAGUCGUACGAGAAUCACCCCUUCGGGGGUGAGAGUAAAGUGGCGCACGGGUGAGUAACGCGUGGGUAACCUACCCUUGGAUUUGGGAUAACUUCCCGAAAGGGAGGCUAAUACCGGAUAUGACCACAGGGGCUUCGGCUCCCGAGGUAAAAGGUGGCCUCUACAUGUAAGCUACUGNUCCGAGGAUGGGCCCGCGUGCUAUUANNGCUAGUUGGUAGGGUAACGGCCUACCAAGGCUUCGAUAGCUAGCUUGGUCUGAGAGGAUGAUCAGCCACACUGGAACUGGAACACGGUCCAGACUCCUACGGGGGAGGCAGCAGUGAGGAAUUUUGCGCAAUGGGGGAAACCCUGACCGCAGCAACGCCCGUGAGAGUGAAGAAGGCUUUCGGGUCGUAAAGCUCUGUCAAGCGGGAAGAACCCUCUCAAAGUUAAUAUCCUUGGGAGCUGACGGUACCGCUGGAGGAAGCACCGGCUAACUCCGUGCCAGCAGCCGCGGUAAUACGGAGGGUGCAAGCGUUAUUCGGAAUCAUUGGGUGUAAAGCGCGUGUAGGCGGCUUGGUAAGUCAGAUGUGAAAGCUCCGGGCUUAACCCGGAAAGUGCAUUUGAAACUGCCUAGCUUGAGUCCCGGAGAGGAAGGUGGAAUUCCCAGUGUAGAGGUGAAAUUCGUAGAUAUUGGGAGGAACAUCGGUGGCGAAGGCGACCUUCUGGACGGAGACUGACGCUGAGACGCGAAAGCGUGGGGAGCAAACAGGAUUAGAUACCUGUAGUC
rnacentral:rRNA from 1 species